rnacentral:sRNA from 1 species
AGCACAAGUCUGCCCGUCCUCCACGAUGA